CGAUGAGUGCUAAGUGUUGGAGGGUUUCCGCCCUUCAGUGCUGCAGCUAACGCAUUAAGCACUCCGCCUGGGGAGUACGACCGCAAGGUUGAAACUCAAAGGAAUUGACGGGGGCCCGCACAAGCGGUGGAGCAUGUGGUUUAAUUCGAAGCAACGCGAAGAACCUUACCAGGUCUUGACAUCCUUUGACCACUCUAGAGAUAGAGCUUCCCCUUCGGGGGCAAAGUGACAGGUGGUGCAUGGUUGUCGUCAGCUCGUGUCGUGAGAUGUUGGGUUAAGUCCCGCAACGAGCGCAACCCUUAUUGUUAGUUGCCAUCAUUNAGUUGGGCACUCUAGCAAGACUGCCGGUGACAAACCGGAGGAAGGUGGGGAUGACGUCAAAUCAUCAUGCCCCUUAUGACCUGGGCUACACACGUGCUACAAUGGGAAGUACAACGAGUUGCGAAGUCGCGAGGCUAAGCUAAUCUCUUAAAGCUUCUCUCAGUUCGGAUUGCAGGCUGCAAC
rnacentral:rRNA from 1 species